GUAACGGUGCAUGUUGACAUUAAUCGAUGCCUGACCGAUUUCAAAGGGGAACAUGAGUACAAAAAUAUACCUGUGGCGUAUUUUAGGAUGGUUAGUUAGUUUAACGUGAACUUUUAUUUGAGCAUCUCGAGUCAGCGUACACGUUAAGUAACGUUAACGGUACCGUUAAAACCGUAGAACAACCUAAGUAAAGGAGCUAGUUACAUGUAACUUAAAGGGACUGGGUAACAUGUGUGACUAACACGCAGUUUUUUUAACAUUUAACGCAGUUUUGACUUGCCACACCGACAAUGUGGUCAUUUAUUUAUGCUUUUUAAGUAGAAUUAUUGCUGCAUUGGCGCCAAUCGGGCGACGACGGUUGCUUUUCAAAAUAACGUUAGUUUAAUAAGCGCCAAUACAGCUAAUUUACAUUACAUUUUCGUUCAUUUGUUUCACUCUGUCGACUGAGGCAGCAGUCACUCAUUUUAAUUACAUUUAUUAUAAUUGGUGUGUUUAUUAGGAAAAUUAUAUUCUUUUUCUCUCUGUCUCAUCCUAUCUAACUUGCUCACUUCUCUCACUCUUUUGCAGGAUAUUAGAGUUGGGAUAGCACGUGGAAACGACCUCAAGUUACAUUACCAUAGCUGCUGUUAUGGUGGGAAAAAUGGCCAGCACUCUUCACUUCAAAGAUCAAGAGGUGAAUGCAGAGUCCUUGAAAGUAACCACAAUACCCCUUGAACCCAGAUUAAUGCAGGAAUGCAAUAAAAAAAGUGCAGUGAACUGAUCCUCCACAGCAAAAUCACCAGUGUUAAAUGUACACUGCUGGUGUAUAUAUAGGUAUCAUCAGGUCUGGUGGUACUCCUAUAAACACCAGCAGUGUACUUUUAACACUAGUGAUUUUGCUGUGUAGUUGUCAGAAAGAAGGAUGGAGCCAUCUGGGAGAAGACAAGGCUGCUGCCAAUUGUAGAAAAGGUGUCUGAUGAAAAAAAGAGGCUGAACAAAUUCCUCAACAGGAAACCAUGGCAAUCUUCAUCAUUAGAGCUGCGCAAGGUGAACCCAUAGACAUUGGCAUCAUACUUGAGGGACAAGAGGUUCUGAAUGAGUGCUGUUGCCAUUCUCCUGGGCCUUCUUUAUGCUCCUAAAUCUGGAAUAUCCCAAGACAUUUGCAUGUAUCCAGAAAAGUGAUCAUGAAGCUGGACCAAAAAGGCAUGACCAACAAAGUUAAGAGGCCCUACGGCCAGCUCUACCAUAGAGCUUAAUUAAGAGUUCCUAUACAUCCCAGUUUACAUGUUUAAGUGGUGUCUAUGUUUGGCAUUCUAAAGUAGGUUCAGUAUUUCAGUAAUAGAAGCUGUCAAGCCCAGUUCAGAUGAAAUUGUGAUGUGACUACUUAAAACCUGCAACUCGUUCCAAUGCUAUGUUCUGCUGAAAGUUGCAAGUUUACACCAAUGUGUUGAGAUGGGAUCGUGUGUCAUAAUAAACUUAAGAAAACAACAGCCUUAAUCGAGAACAAUGCAGUAAAUUAUGGAAAUGCAUCAAUUUCUCAAUUUCAUCACUACUAGAAAUACAGCUGUAGUGUAUUUAUCACUCUUUCUCUAUUUUAUGAUGCUGC